rnacentral:rRNA from 1 species
UACAGAGGGUGCAAGCGUUAAUCGGAAUUACUGGGUGUAAAGCGUGCGUAGACGGUUAUGUAAGUCAGAUGUGAAAGCCCCGGGCUCAACCUGGGAAUUGCAUUUGAGACUGCAUAGCUAGGGUGCGGAAGAGGGAAGCGGAAUUUCCGGUGUAGCGGUGAAAUGCGUAGAUAUCGGAAGGAACACCAGUGGCGAAAGCGGCUUCCUGGUCCAGCACCGACGUUCAGGCACGAAAGCGUGGGGAGCAAACAGG